rnacentral:rRNA from 1 species
GACGAACGCUGGCGGCGUGCCUAAUACAUGCAAGUUGAGCGCUGAAGGUUGGUACUUGUACCAACUGGAUGAGCAGCGAACGGGUGAGUAACGCGUGGGGAAUCUGCCUUUGAGCGGGGGACAACAUUUGGAAACGAAUGCUAAUACCGCAUAAAAACUUUAAACACAAGUUUUAAGUUUGAAAGAUGCAAUUGCAUCACUCAAAGAUGAUCCCGCGUUGUAUUAGCUAGUUGGUGAGGUAAAGGCUCACCAAGGCGAUGAUACAUAGCCGACCUGAGAGGGUGAUCGGCCACAUUGGGACUGAGACACGGCCCAAACUCCUACGGGAGGCAGCAGUAGGGAAUCUUCGGCAAUGGACGAAAGUCUGACCGAGCAACGCCGCGUGAGUGAGGAAGGUUUUCGGAUCGUAAAACUCUGUUGGUAGAGAAGAACGUUGGUGAGAGUAGAAAGCUCAUCAAGUGACGGUAACUACCCAGAAAGGGACGGCUAACUACGUG